rnacentral:lncRNA from 1 species
CUGGAAUCUCUUGGAUACAAACUUCUUUCUUGGGUUUACCUAGUUAGGGAAAAUACAAUAUUAAGGCACUGGGAAUUAAGGAGAAAAGAAUUUGUCAUUAGGGAAAAUCAGUACCGAAUAAUUUUAUUAACUUGUGAAUGGCUCCUCGUUGGGAGGAUUAAAUACAAUCUUUUUAUUAAAGCAGUCUAUGGUGGCGUGAUACGCCGCUAGCCAAUCCAUUCCUAGGAUUACAUCAAAAUCCCCUGUGUCUAACCCUAUCAGGUCUACCCUCAAUUUCCUAUCUGCUAUCUCCACGGCACAUGCCCUGUAGACAACCUCUCCUAGCAAUGUCUCCCCCCCAGCGGUAGAUACAAGCAAUAAUGAAUCAAGUCUAUCAGGUGAUACACAAAUUUUGGAAGCAAGAACAUAUGAAAUAAAAGAAUGUGAUGCACCAGUAUCAAACAAAAUAUGAGCAAUGUGGCCAGAGAUAGUAUACAUACCAUGUACCACGUCCGGGUCUGCGUCGGCAUCCUUCUGGGUAAGGUUGUAAACUCUGCCCUGGAUUGGAGGCCUCCCUUGAUUCUGGUUCCUAGGGCACUCCCUCGCAUAGUGCUGGGCACUGCCGCAUAUGCGAUAGGUGUUGUUGAGGCGGUAGCAGGGUC